ensembl:lncRNA
UCAUGAAUAAAUAACAACCCAGAGCCCUUCAUUUGUAACACCUUCACUCUCUUAUAUCCGCCAACAUUUCCUUCAAAGCGUGUGCAUCUUAUAUUUUUUGCUUUUUUCCUGUGAGGCCAGGACACCUCCACUGAAAGUUCCUUGUUAGGGGCACUACCACUACCAUGAUUUCUCUUUCCAAGGACUCAAUAUUCAGUACCAUCUCCAGAUUGUAAUCACUUUAGGAAACCUUUGAAGGAUGUAGCUAAUACCCAAAAAGAGAUACCCCUUCAUUUUAAAUUCUAAUAAAGGCCAUCAGUAGUCCUGAAGAUCACUCCUUAACCUGAAAAUUUUACAAACUAUGAGGGGUACACAGAUAAAAGAUAAUAAUGCUUUUAUUCCCUAUUUUCAUUAAAAUUUUAAAGGUGGGAAGCAAGCUAGAGGGAAGAAAUUUGAAUGUUCCUAACUUACAAAACAGGGUUAGGAAAUACUAUCUAUGCUUCUUGGAACAAAAAAUGGAGUUUUAAAUCUGGCUCUAAACAGUUCAUACAGAAGUAACUAGUAAGAGAAUUGAGAACAGACUUAAAAUUAUACUGAGUUGGGGAAAUUAGGGGAUGUUAACUAUUAUAGCAUAAAAUCAAUACAUAAUAUCUAAAAUGGAUAAAUCUAUUACUAUAAACACUCCGUGAGAUAUAGGGAGUUAAUCAACAUAAUAAUUAAAACAAACUAUAAAAGUGGGAAGUAGGAUAUGGGGGUAGAUAAAGCAGGAAAUUAUCUAUAAUGGUUUUAGCUUUAUGUAUGUGUUAUUUUGAAAACAUACACACACACACAAAACACACUUAUUAUCCUUGCAGGUGAUUUACAACAUAAAACCAAGGCUAUGCACAAUGAACCCAGUAAGUGUUGUUUGGUUAUUUCAUUAGUUGUUUAGUUAUCCAGCUUAGGGGGUAAAUGGGUAAAUAACUGAAUACUUGAUAGCAUGGAUUAGCAGCAGCAGCAGCGGCAACAGCAACGUAAUCAUCUUGAAUCUACACCUCCUGCACACAUACCUACUAAUCACACAGUUUAAGAAUCCAGACCAAGAAAGGUAGCUAAGCUACAACCACUUGACAAUGAACAAUGGUUGCAAUCAGUCCACACAGUGGAUUCUUCACAUAAAGAUUACCAAACAUUAAUCAUUGAAUUUCAUAAAAGAGGCUAGAAGGACAAUGUUUGGAGAACAAUAUCUCUAUGAAAUUCUGAGUCCUGAUUUUACUAUAAUUAUUUCAAAGGUUGAUUGCUGAAUUUUACUACGGUCUACUAAAGCAUUUAAAUAUUCUAGGAUUCAGAAGUAAGGAGGAAAACAAAUAAUCACUUCUAUUUCAGAAAAGUCGUUUUAUAUGAAAUGAAUAAAGCAUGUGGAAAUCAAUCUGAAGUAAAAAGAAAACCUUUAACAGAUUCUUUAUAAUAAAGAAUAAGAAUUUUUUUUUUUUUGGUUACCAUAGUGGCAGUGAUUUUUAAAUACUAUUCACACAGAUUCAGCAUUACAGCAAUCAGCGUUUCCUAUUGUGGCUCAAGGUAUCAAAAGUAGCAUACAAUGUUACAAGCUUCACACUGCCAUUUAAAUUUAAAUAUUAAGAAAUGUUAUGCAUCAAAGGUUAAUUUAUAUGUUCUCUGCAUAAUAUCUGAAGUGGGAUAUUAUAAGGCAAGUUAUUUCACCAUUAACAUCAAAUAACAUAAGGAACCUGCACUUAACAUUCAAGCCUGUAGUGACCAGACAUGGAGGGUAGGAAGGGAGGGGGAAGAGGGUGUAAAAUUUCUAUUUGUUGCCAAGAGAACCCACAGCAUUUACAAUGACUGCAGGACAGAUCAGAGGAGCUGUAGUAGUUGCAUAGUUCUUCCUGCAAUCUUUUCCCAAAGCUCAAUUACAACUCCUUGGCAAGGGAGUAGGAAAUAAGAAACAGGACACAUUUUAAUCUCUGGCCUUAGGAGAAUUAUAAAAAUUCCCUUGUGUGAAACACAAAAGGUUGAUUGAAUACUAGAGGGAAGAGGGUGAUAAAAGAGGACAGGAAAAUCAUAUCUUAUAGUUGAAGGAAGAAGAGUGGCCAGAAUUGCUGUCACACAAUUGCCCUACUCUACUCUCAGAGAGUCAUACAUCUGGCCAACACUAAAGGAAUUUUUAAUUCUGAAUGAAAGUAAUGCAGAGGGAAACCGCUUUUCCUUGGUUUCUAUUUUCCACCUGGAAGAACAUCUAGUGUAGGAACACCUUAGUCUCUGACUCUCUAAGAUUGAUUAUUUGAUAUCGGGUGACACCCAUGGAUUCAAAAAUUUAAAAAAAAAACUAUUAAAGUAUAGUUGAUUUACAACAUUGUGUUAAUUUCUACUGUUGGAAAAGUGAUUCAGUUCAUACACAAAUGUGUGUGUGUGUAUUCUUUUUCAUGUUCUUUUCCAUUGUGGUUUAUUACAGGAUAUCGAAUAUAGUUCCCCAUGCUAUACAGUAGGACCUUGUUGUUUAUCCAUUCUAUUACUAGUUUGCAUCACUUAUCC